rnacentral:lncRNA from 1 species
AACCCAUUGUAAGGGAAGAAAGGGAUUAAGAAAGAAAAAAGGACGACCUGGGGAAGACGCCGGAGAAUAGAACUUCGGACCGUGAAAGGCUGAAGGAAGAAAAGCUGGAAGAAGGCGAUAAGAAUGGGACAGAAGGCCAGGGGAGAGUUUAUAUAAACCUCCCCAACGGCCCCGAUCGGCAAAAAGAAAAGCCGCACCCCGUUGAGAUGACCGCACGUGUCGGUCCAAAAGACAGAACGACGCA